rnacentral:lncRNA from 1 species
UAAUAUGAAAACAUAUACUAAUCAGUUGAAAAUGACUGAAUUUAUUUUAGAACUAUACGAAGCAGAAAAACAGCUAGCGAAAUCAGCCAUGGUAGGGAAUAUAUACAGACAAUAAAAUAAUUUAAAAAAAAACCAAUAAACACAGUAAAUAUCUUAGAGAACUCACAGUUACUGGUAGUUGAAUAAGAAGUAUUUAUUAUUAAGUGGGAUUGCAUUGUCGGUGUUAAUUCGUAAUUUUUUUUAAAUGAAAAUGCCUUGAUGUGAUGAGGGUACAAAACAUUUCUUCUGGUAUUUUCAAUUUUACAAAAAUAUAUACCUCACUAUAAAAACAUAUAAACAGGAUAAAAUCAAAUUGAAAUAUCUCAAAAAAUAACAUCAGCUAGGAGGCA